rnacentral:pre_miRNA from 1 species
UUUGUACUCCCUCCGUUCUAAAUUACUUGUCGCAGGUAUGGAUGUAUCUAGAUGUAUUUUAGUUUUAUAUACAUUCAUUUCUGCGACGAGUAAUUUGAAACGGAUGGAGUACUUU